rnacentral:lncRNA from 1 species
UUUAGAGAGAGGAGGAAGAAGGAAGAGAGAGAGAAGAAGGUUACAGUUUAGAGAGAGAAGGAGGAAAUAGACAGAGACUAAAAUAGGGUUGGGCUCAUAGCCAAGGUUUAUAGAGAGAAGAAGAAAGAAGGAUGAAGGAAGAGGUCAUGGGCUUCACAUACCCUAAUGGAAGAGGCCCUAACUGAUUUUUAGAAAGAGAAAAGAAAGAUGGGAUGCUGAUUUGUGAUGGUUUGAUGAUGGCUUUUCUCUCUUAUUUAGGAUGUUGUUUGAGAGAGAGCCCUAACUAUACUGAUUUGUCAAGAAGUCUUAACUGAUUUUUAGAGAGAGAAAAAAAAGAGGAUUUUCUAUUAUCUUGGGGAAAUAGCA